UUUCCCCGCCACUAGUACAUUUAGCAGCGUGUUCACAAAUUGAUUGACAGCGCUGAGACACUAUCCCAGGCGCUGACUGGUUGUUUUUGGUGCAUUUCUUCAGAAGGCAAUAGUGGAUCAGGGAGAAGGUGGAGAUUGAUCUUUUCACAGAUUAUCUGUCUCAACAAAGACAGUCUUCACAAAUAAGAUAUAUUUUUUUGUAAAAGCUGCAUUCUGUAGCUCUAAUAAAAUCUUUUUUGUACCUUGGGGUACACUUUACCUUCCCCUGGACCGCAAAUUAUCCUACUCAGUCAUUUCUUGAAUAAAAGUUUGUAUUUUU